GACGUAGGGCGCGAGCGUUGUCUGGAUUUAUUGGGCGUAAAGAGCUCGUAGGCGGUUUGUCGCGUCGUCCGUGAAAACCCGGGGCUCAACUCCGGGCUUGCGGGCGAUACGGGCAGGCUAGAGUUCGGUAGGGGAGACUGGAAUUCCUGGUGUAGCGGUGAAAUGCGCAGAUAUCAGGAGGAACACCGGUGGCGAAGGCGGGUCUCUGGGCCGAUACUGACGCUGAGGAGCGAAAGCGUGGGGAGCGAACAGG
rnacentral:rRNA from 1 species